UACGUAGGGUGCGAGCGUUGUCCGGAAUUAUUGGGCGUAAAGAGCUCGUAGGCGGUGUGUCACGUCGGCCGUGAAAACCUGCAGCUUAACUGUGGGCGUGCGGUGGAUACGGGCAUCACUGGAGUUCGGCAGGGGAGACUGGAAUUCCUGGUGUAGCGGUGAAAUGCGCAGAUAUCGGGAAGAACACCCGUGGCGAAGGCGGCUCUCUGGGACGGUACUGACGCUGAGACGCGAAAGCGUGGGGAGCGAACAGG
rnacentral:rRNA from 1 species